rnacentral:misc_RNA from 1 species
GGCUGUGAACUUGAAGAACUCAAAUUAGGGUUUAUGGCUCUCUUCACAAUUUUCUUCUUCUUUGCAACCUUGAGAGACGAUGUUUUACCAGAAACAACAUUAGUUCCACCUUCAUUUAAUACAGAACCCUUAGUAGAACUCUCCACUUUAUUAUUUCCAAGUGAGAUUUUAGUCCCACUGGAACCAGACAGCGAACUACUAUCAUGCACAUU